AUAAAAAAAGGCAUUCUUCAUAAAGAAGAAUGCCUUGCCAUGAUCUCACAUGGCAAUGGGAGAGGAGAAACCGGAGGAAGAUCUUAUGGGGAAAUGUAAGUCUUCUCCGCGG
rfam:Bacillus lehensis G1, complete genome.